UAAUCAAUGAGGGAGAUGUCGUUGAUGUAAAAUACGAAGAUGAAAGCUCUCCAGCAAUUAUUUUGAAGCUGAGUGAAAAUAAAGACAGGCUGCUGAAACGUCUUCAUCAGGUAGAGUCAGAGAGAAAGAAAAAAGAUGAGGGCAAACUUCCUGACAAAAGACCAAUAAAAAGGAAGGAAAUAUUUAGUCCAGAAAACAGUCCAUCGCCAAGUCCAGAGAAGAGAUGCAAAAGAGUUGACGAACCACAGAAGGACAAACUGUUGUUCCAAAAAAUCCAAGAGAAAGCCAAAGAAAACAACGAACCGAAUGAACUUAGAAGAGAAAUCAAGGCCUUGAAAGCUGAAAAUCAGGAACUAAAGGCACUAAACUUUAAACUACAAAAAGACAUUAUUAACAGAUUUGAGGAGUUGUUGUCAAAUAGAAGCAGAUCUGUUGCACAAACCUGUCCACCACCUGC